AAGAGCUUCAAUGAUUUCAUGGAUGAUUGGUGGUUGAUCGAUAUCCCAAUGCAAGUUACGAAGUUCACCUGGUUAAACAAACAAGAUUGCCUUGUUAUGUGCUGUUUAUAUAGAUUUUUGGUCUUAACCUUGUGGGAAGCAGUGUUUCAUGAUGUGAACCUCAAGAUCCGGCUCAAUCAUAUGUCUGAUCAUAAGCCUCUUUGCCUUUCUUCCCACUUGGAAUCCUGUGACUUCAAACCUUUCCCAUCCAAGUCAAUGUGGUUUAACAUCCCUCCUUUGCCUUGGCAGUUCAGGGAUGGUAGGAGUCCUGUGAAUGUUCACGGAUCAAUGCCUUGGGGCCUUGGAGGCAAGCUUAGGAACCUCAAAGGCCAUUUGAAGGGAUGGGCAAAGAUAUUUUUGGGACAAAAGGGUGGCGAAAAGUCAAGUGAGUUGGUGCAGUUGAACCAGGAGGCAGAAGGCCCAAGGGUCUUCCCCAGCAGAUGCUGGAGCCUUUAAGAAAGGAGGAGAUUGCUGAUGAAUUGAAGUCUCUAGAGGAGAGGAGUUCUUCUGGAUGCAAGAAUCCAGAGACAGAUGAGUGAAGGUAAAUAGAGAAUCUUCCUAUUUCCGUAGGGUGGCCAGUGCCAGGAGGACAAAUCGGAUCACCGCUAUUAAAAUUGGGAUGGUUUGCUGCUGUGUAAGGAAGAAAUCUGUGACCACUUCAUUAAAAUUUUCCAGGCAGCCUUCGCUGAGGAUACCCUUUCGAGACCAUUGCUUAGUGGUCCUUCUUUCGAUCAGAACUCUUACCUCAGCUUUGCAGCUUGAAGAGGCCUUUUCCCUUGAAGAGGUUGAGGCAACAAUCCUUGAUGUAGAUGGAGAUACGACCCUGGCAAGGGGGACUAGAUUGCAAGCAGCUUGACCUCAUCCCGGUUUUGUUUUUCUGAAAGGACAUGGGCAUGGAAAUUAAAAUUUUACGUUGACAUGUCAACAAUUGAUCACGCCACGAGUGCGAAAAUAGGAUUUCUGCUCUUGCAUGAUGCCAAAAUGACAUAAUCUUUCCCUUACCUUGACUUUCUGAGCUACCUAAUCACCUCCUCACUUAUUUUUAUUCGCGCCCCCCCCCCCUUUUUUUUUAAGUGAUGUGUCCCCCAUGCACCUUCACCCUUAAAAGUCUUCAAAAUUACCAACAAAGUCAUCCCAAGGUCUUAUGGGGCUGUGCAUGGGUCCCUAAGCACCAAAGGUCCUACGGAGUUGUUCCAUGUGUCCUAAUGUACCUUUGCCCUAAAACUAACCUAAAUUUACCCAAAGUCCUCUCUCAAUUCUGUAAACAAA